rnacentral:tRNA from 1 species
GCCUGGAUGGCUCAGUCGGUUAGGCGUCCGACUUCAGCUCAGGUCACGAUCUCGCGGUUUGUGGGUUCAAGCCCCGCGUCAGGCU